UACGAAGGGGGCUAGCGUUGCUCGGAAUCACUGGGCGUAAAGCGCACGUAGGCGGACUCUUAAGUCGGUGGUGAAAUCCUGGAGCUCAACUCCAGAACUGCCUUCGAUACUGGGAGUCUCGAGUUCGGGAGAGGUGAGUGGAACUGCGAGUGUAGAGGUGAAAUUCGUAGAUAUUCGCAAGAACACCAGUGGCGAAGGCGGCUUACUGGUCCGGUUCUGACGCUGAGACGGCGAAAGCUAGGGGAGCGAACAGG
rnacentral:rRNA from 1 species